rnacentral:lncRNA from 1 species
AAUUUAACGAAAUAAUCACUCGUUUUACACAGACUUCACCCAAAGUUUGGGUAGAGGCGGUUGGAAGCAGAACCUCGUGAAGGCAUUUUAGCGUCAGCAGCUCGGAGUGCAAGGAGUCAGCCAUUUCACCUGCCCCGGGCUGACGCUCUGUGGCUUUGAGCAAGGCGAUCUGCUCGUGCCUUGCUCCCUGCUGCGGAAGGAGCCAAGCGGCACUGCUGGCAAGUCCUCCCGCGUGACACCCGCUGUCACCAGCCCUGCUCGGUUUGAUUAUAUGGGUACCGGUGCACUUUCUGUGGGUUGUCGUAGCAACAAGGAAAUAGGCAAGUGGAAACCGACGGCACCCGCCUGCCUCCCCCAGCCUCUGUGGGGGCUGCACGGGAUGGUGCUUGGGAGGCUUGGGGGGAGCGAGGCACAGGGUCUAUCAGAAUAUAGAAAGGAUGUGGCUACAAGGCAGAAAAGUGAAGAGGCUUUAACACAAACACUGAAAUUCCAAAUAUCUACUCCAUACCUAAAAAAAGCAAGACCCACAGUUCCUCCUUAUACAACUCACAUCGAUGAAAUCCAUCUUUCCUUAAUCUGAACCCCAGCUGACUUUGAGGUAAGUCUGUAAAUCCUAUAAUAUAUUUUUCUUUAUUGUUUCAAUAUGCUAUUUCAUUUUUUGAAAUCUCUAUGGAGGUAAUUCGUUAAUAGUUUCCUAGUUCCGUAUCACCACAGUAUCUGGCAUCUUAGAAUACUACAUGAAAUAGUAGUAUGCAGUAUGAGACAGAAGUGUAUACAAAGUGUGUCUUAUUCUAUUAACAGCAAUUCUAGAUUUAAUGUUUCAUAUUAAAAUACAUUCAUUUUGCAGACGAUCUGGUACAAAGCUAUCCUGUCUUUGCCAAAAAAGGUAGUGAAGUGCGCGAUGCUGGUCCUUUAUGUCUGCCAAUCUUGGCUUGCUUCUGAUGUGCUAGAUAGGGUUGCUACCUACUGUGCAAAUAUUUUCACUGGUAUUGUCUGUUUUUGAGGAACUAGG